CUAGAUUGAGGAGCUGUUUGUCUCUGGGACUCUCCUUCCCUUUGACUUCACCAUGGCUUGGCUCCUUCUUCUCUUCGCCCUUCUCAGCUACUGCUCAGGUCUGGUUCUGGGUGGUUAAUGGGAUCAGGUUGGCUUGUGCUGAAAUAAACAAACCCAUUUACCUCAUGUAAUUUACCAUAAAAACAAUAUUUUCUGAUCUUAUAAACACAGUAAAUGAUGCAUUUCUUUUUCUUUUUUCAAAGCUGUCAUAUCACAGACUUUAACUCAGCCAGCCUCGGAGUCUGUGUCCCUGGGCCAAACUAUGAAGCUCUCCUGCUCUAGAAGUAGUGGUGGCUGGGGCAGCUUUGGCUGGUAUCAACAGAAACCUGGCCAGGCUCCUCGCUUUGUGUGGUAUGGCUCCAGCACCAGGGGAGAAGGGAUCCCAGAUCGGUUCACAGGUUCUGCCUCUGGGAACAAUGGCUAUUUAACCAUCUCCAACACCCAGACUGAAGAUGAGGCAGUUUAUUACUGUGGUGCCGUAGAGGGCACUGGUGGCUUGAAGUAUCACAGUGGUACAAUCUGAUGGGGAAGUGAGACAAAAACCUUCACUCUUCCUCCCUAUAGUAGGUAACAUGAAUGAUUCAAGAGCUUUUUUGAGUCCAGGUGCAAGUCCCAGUGGAACAGGUCCAGAGCUUUCAUAAAAGAGUUGGGAGGGAUCAUGAGGGUCAUCUCGUCCAACCCCUGGCAAUGCAGGAAUCUUUUGCCCAAUAUAAGGCAUCAGAGUCUCAUGCUCUACCAUCGGAGCUAUCUCUCCCCAGCGAUCCUUCCCCUCCUUUUUAUAUACUUUUUUCAUCUUGGACUCAUGUUCUCAAACACCGUCCCACAACAAUUGCAUUUAACUGGUUUCUUAGAAAUGCUUUAGAACCUGACAUUUUCCGCCUCUGUCUGUAGGGUGAGAAGUUGGACCACCUUCCCCACCUUUCAUAGAAUUUAACUGCCACGGAGAGUGUGAGCAUCGCCAGCACCUGCAGAGCCAGUGAAGCAGGAGGCAGCUCAGAAGGACACACCUGCUCACCUUUCCACCCACCAGCUGCCCUUCCUACUCAUUUGUGCACAGAAAUCCAACCAUAACUGUCAGUGUGCACACAGCAGAGACCGAUGCAACCUCACUCCCAACCGAUUCACCUUUGUCUCAUGCUUUGGAAAGUUUUGUGAAUCUGCAAAGCCUGGGAAGGAAGAGGGCGGUCUAUGGUUGUUUCCACGAAAAGCUUAGAUGCAUGUGUGUGUGUGUGUGUGUGCGCGCCCGCCCGUGCUUCUUGUUUGUGUUAUUUGGAAAUCAGCCCUGUCUUGGCCAGGAAGUGGGAAAAUGGAACUAUUCACAUCUUCAGAAAAUUCACUAAGCCUCUCCUUUUAAAAAGUGUUUGGCAUGAAUGGUGAGAAAGAAUAGCCUUACAUCUAUUCCUCAACAAACGUUACAUACAUUUCCCACUGAAAUUGAGACUUAGCAGGCUUGUGGCAGAGCACCUUCUGCUCCGGAGCUCUGGCACGAGUCAGAAGAGUCAGGAAGGUGCUUUGGAGUCACCCUGCAGACUCACACCAGAGAGAGCAUUUUUGGUUCAGUCCUCUGGUGUGAGGACUCAUGUCAGAGUGCUGGACUAAAGACAGGCAUUCUUGGAUGCAAGCAGAAGUGAUCCCAGAAUGUCCCACUUAAAACAGGACUCUUCACAGUUAUGAUGUUCGUUCUCUGGGUUUGGCUGCCACUCUUUCCAGUGCUGCUGUUAGUGUGGAGCUGAGAAUCCUCUUGGCUGGGCCCCAAAUAAAACCUCCCAGGCCUCCUCAUAUCGCCAUGUCAUUCCCCUCUUAGGCUGCCCCCUCUCUCCCCAGGCCACCCCCUCUCCCCACUUAGCAGUCUCCUUCAGUGUUUUUGGCCAUCCGGAAUCAUUAUCUAAAUUUCAUUUGGAAUGACAUGAAUUCAAAUGUGUACUUCAGAUGAGUUCUGCUGAAAUUAUAGGUUUCAUCUGGAUGGAACAUCUGGAUGGAAACAAGCUUCCCUCCAGGAUUCUCUGCUUUAUCUUUGUGUUUUGCCAGGAGUAGGGGAGCUCUGUCCUCACCUUUCCAUCCACCCCGUCAACCCACCCAUGGCCCAGCUGGGUUAUCAUCUAGUCAGGCCCCUGACAAAGCAGCAUACAGGUGGGGAACCAUCACCAUGGCCUCCUCCCAACCUCCUUUGUACAUAUCAGAGCUUUAGACACCGGGGGAGAUGUUAGUUCCGUUUCUCUACAUUUGACAGAUUUGCACCUGCAGUAAAAAGUUACACAGAUGAGCAUUUUAUCUGGGUGUUCCUCAUGCAUGAAACUCAAGUGUCUGCACACAAAUUGAUCUGCCUUAGAAUACACUAAGAUGACGAAUGAGCUAAGCAGUCAUCUUGAAGGGGGCCUGGUUCUGACUUUGUAUUCUUCUCUCAGUUCUGAUCAUUGGUGUUUAAUGGCUUCAGCCCUUCUUUCUCUGGCUCAUGCACAAGAUGUGGCCCUCCAGGUCUGUUUCUGGCCCUCGGGAGUCUCCUCAAAUCAAGCCCCCUUCCCAGGCUACUACACCCCUAAGAAGCCCUGCUCUGAGUCCUCCCAAAGUGCUUUUUUCCUGCCAGGAAUAUCUCCUCGAAUUUUAUAGUGCCUUUUGCUCCACUAGAUGGAAUGCAGGGAGAGGUUUGGAUAGGUCUGGAAGGUGGUGUUACUCUCUUCAUUUUGCUAAACUGGGUUGAUUUUAUGAAAUUGUCUCUCAAAAUCUACCCACAGAUGGAGAUGGUUUUGAGAACACCUGAAACUGGUGUUAAUCCACCUCUCCCUUGUGAGUCAGGGGGUGAACAAGGGAUACUGUACUGGCCCACCCCUCUGGCUGCUUUUGCAAUUCUGGGUAGCAUUUGCUGCAGCGCAAGGAGCAGCCUGGAGACAGGGAUGCAGACAGUGAAGUGAUAUCAUUUUAAAUACCACCUGGUCACCCCCCCCCCCAACCAAUGCUUUUUAGCCCACACCGGUCAAACCUUUCUGGAAUUUUGAAAGGGAAAAGCUCUGUAUAUCUGUCUGUCUGCACCUCUAUGCAAAUGCAAGGAGAUAAAGAAGUUCUUGCAGAACCAAUGAGCACAGAGCCAGUUUGCAUGACGGAGUCAUUUGGUAUUUCUGGGGACUUCAUAGAGGAUGAAGAGGAUCCCAUCUAGAUCUCUUUCAGAAGGGAAGCCAGACUCCUUUAGAGAGCUCGCCAUGGCCUGGCCUCUGUUCUUCCUGGCACUUCUGAGCUACUGCUCAAGUAAAUCCCCACAGCUGUCUAUGGAUGCUUGUUUGUAAUUUCUUUUUGUUUUUAACUUGUCUUUAACUUUCUAUGAUUUUAUUGUUUUUAUAUUGUUGUAAACCAUGGUGAUCUUCUAUUUUAUGAGACAGAGGAAUAUAAAUAUUUUCAUAAAUAAAAGUAUGGAGGAUUCAGUAUACACAGCCCAAGAUCAAAUCUCUUUUCAUGAUGUACUCAUCAUGGGGACAUUAUGCUUUUUGUGAAAGUCAUGAUUUAUUUCCCAUUUCUUUGUUCAGGUGUCACUUCACAAGCAACAGUGACGCAGCCUGCUUCUUCAUCUGUCGCCCUCGGCCAAACAGCUAAACUCUCCUGCACUGGCAGUCAUGGUGGGAGCUGGUCCGACUAUCAGUGGCAUCAACAGAAACCCGGACAGGCUCCUCGCUUUGUGAUCUAUAGUACCAGCACCCGGGGAGAAGGGAUCCCAGAUCGGUUCACUGGCUCUUCCUCUGGGAACACUUACUAUUUAACCAUCUCCAACACCCAGACUGAAGAUGAGGCAGUUUAUUACUGUCUUGCUUGGGAAAACAACAGUGAAACGUUUCACAGUGGUACAACCUCAUGGGGAACUGAGACAAAAACCUUUGCUCUACCUUCCUAGAGUGAGAAAACAAGAACAACCCAAAAAUAUGACUAGUCAUAGUUGAGCGGUCUUUGUUUUUGACAGGAAUGUGUGAUGAUAUCAGGUUAUUUAGUCACACUGAUGCUAUUAAGGAAAUGAUCUCCACCCAUGAAUGGUCUCCACAAUUAUUGACUGACAGUCUUGGGCAAAGCAAAAUUCUACUGGCAAGCCCCUCACCUAUCAUGUGCAGCCUUGCUGGCAUCCCCUAAGGAAAAGGCUGUGGGUGUGGACUGUGUUGUGAAUAAGGUUGUGCCAACAGAUAUCAGCAAAAUGCAAAAUGACCCAAUGAGGGCAGGAUGUGGUUCCUUGAAAACCGGAAAUCAUUUAUCUCAAUUUCAUUUGUAUUGACAUGAAUUCGAAUGUGUACUUUAGAUGAGGAAAAAAACAUGAGAAGCUUGGCUGUGUGUGUGUGUUUGGACUAGAUGACUUUUGGCAUUAUUCCAACUCUACAAUUCUAUGAUUCUAUUAUUUUCAAGGGUCAUCUUUCUUUCUGUGUGUCUUUCAAGGUGUCAGUUCACUGCAAACUUCGGCUGCCCCUGAGUCUUUGUCUCUGGGCCAAACAAUUAAAGCUUUCUCCCUUUCUAAGUGGUGGUCACUUGUACUUAAAGAAAGCAAGGUAGGUUGUUGGCUUUAUGUUGUGCUAUAUUUUCAGCUGGUGAGAAGGGAUUCAUUCAGGUGGGAAGCAAAAACAUUUCUUCAAACUGUGCAAAUCCAGUCCUCCAAAAGUAGUGAUGGGAGAUGGGUCAGCUUUGCCUGUUAUCAACAGAAACCUGGGCAGGCUCUUCAGUCGGAUGCCUCUGUUCAGUGGCAGACUACAUGUGCUGUAUCCACAAGGUCAAUCCCCAGUAUUUGCUAAAUAUUAUUUGGGCUGUCUGUUGUCUGAAAUGCCAGGGACAUGCUGUUAGUCUGUGUAGACAUUUCAACAUAAAAUUUGAAUUGUGGCCUCACUGAGCACCAGGCAGCUUUCUGUAUGCCUUUUAAAGUUCUAUUUACACCUUCAAGAAAUGCAGUUGAAUUCUCCACCCCCAACCUGAACCUUCCCAGUGGAAUGCAGGGGUGGCUGGGAUCCAGCAUGAUCUUAAGGCAUUGCCUGAAGGGGCUUUGCAGCCCUGUGUUCGGGAACAUCCAGUGCUCUCCUCAAGCUUUUUCAGGGAGAGAACAUUCAGCAGCCUGUAGGCAGGGGGAGAAUAUAUGCUAUCUUGGGAAGGAGAGACCUGGGAUCCUCCAGAUAUUGCAGGUCACACACACCCAUCUGAAUGGUCAGAGGUGGAAGGUGUUGCAGUCCAAGAACAUCUGGAUGGAAACAAGAUCCCCUUCCAUCUUCUCAACGUACCUACGGGACCGCCUCUUCAGGUAUGCCCCGCAGAGGACCUUAAGGUCCACAAAUGUCAACAUUUUGGAGGUCCCAGGUUGCAAGGUGCUUAGAUUGGUCUCAACUAGGGUCAGGGCCUUUUCAGUACUGGUCCCUACUUGGUGGAACGCUCUGUCACAAGAGACUAGGGCCCUGCGGGACUUGACAUCUUUCCACAGGGCCUGCAAGACAGAGCUGUUCUGCCUGGCCUUUGGUUUGGACUCAGUCUGACCCUUAUGUUUCCCCUCGCCUUAUGGUUUUGAUCUAUGGGCUACUUUUAAAAUGAGGCUGCAUUUUAAAUUGCAUUUUAACCUGUAUUUUAAAUUGUUUUUUUUUUUCUCCCUAUUUUGAUUUUACUGUAAUUUUACUGGUGUUAGCCUCCCUGAGCCCGGGGAGGGCGGAGUAUAAACAAAACUUCUUCUUCUCCUUCUUCUUCUUCUUCUUCUUACUUUAUCUUUGCAUGCAUUGCCAGGAGGAGGGAAACUCUGUCCUCGCCUUUCCAUCCAUCACCACGUCCACCAAGCCAUGGCCCAGCUGUGUUUACUUCCAGUCAGGCCCCUGACAAAGCAGCAUGCAGGUGGGGAACCAUCACCACGGCCUCCUCACAGGCUCCUUUAUGCAUAUCAGUUCUGUUGCAUUUCUUAUGUGGGUUCCUGUAUUCCCCAUGGGGACGUGAGGUUCUUGAACAACCAACCCUGUCUGGCUGGAUUUGCAUUCAGGGACCAUUCACCAACUCUGGGGAUGUAAGAAAGGAAAGGUUGGUUGAGUCUCAGUCUGUUUCCUGUUGCUUCAGGAAGUCCUGCUGCUUUGAAGAGCUCACCAUGGCCUCUGCUCUGUUUCUCCUGGCCCUUCUCAAUCACUGUUCAGGUAAGGAUACAAAGAAAUCACUGUGUGAGCCUAAGAGCCAAACCCAAAAGUAUAAGUCAUGUUUAUUUAUCAUACAAUUCUAAAGCUCCUGUGAUAUUUGACAACACAGACCAACGAGAUAUAUGCUUGCUUAUUUUCUAUUUUGCCAAGGUGUCAUUUCACAGCCAACAUUGACUCAGUCUACCUCAGAAUCUGUGUCUCUGGGCCAAACAACUAAGCUCUGCUGCUCUUGAAUGAGUGGUAGCACCUGGGGCGGCUUUUCUUGGUAUCAACUGAAACCUGGAGAGAUUCCUUGCUUUGUUCUCUACAGCGAUGACCCCAGGGGAGAAGGGAUCUCGGAUCAGUUCACUGGCUCUUCCUCUGGGAACACUGGCUAUUUAAGAAUUUCCAACAACCAGGUUGAAGAUGAAGCAGUUUAUUACUGUGAUGACUGGGAGCACACUGAUAGUAUCAUGUUUCCGUGUUAUAAUCUGAUGGGGAACUGAGACAAAAACGUUCACCCUUUGACCACAGUGUAGCAAACCAAGAAUCCUUAGAAAGUUUCAUUUGUUCUUUCCCCAAGGACUUUGAAUCAUGUGCUUGGAAUGGAGAGAAACCCAAGUGCAUUUAAUCCCAUUUCCCUCGUCAAGGCAGACGCACCUGACUACUCAUUGCAUAGAUCAAACUUGCGCCAUACAACUGGGGCAUCUCACCGACAGAGUGCCAGACCCCCAAAUAAAGUUCCUUCUAGUGCAUAACACUAAAGCUUUGGGUCAGACAAGAGACAGUUCAAACUUUAUCAUAUCCCGAUGCUAAUUAGUUUCAGGGAAUCAUAUAUAUUGGAGAUCAUUAGUUAUCUUGAGCUCAUUCCCCCAUCAAGCUGUGGGUUUGAACCUGAGAAAAAGUAUUUGUGUGACUCAGUUCAUUGUUGCCUAUUUUUGAGGGUCUCAGCAAUUCUUGUGAAUAGUUUAGCUCAGGGGUAGUUUAGAAAGCUCAGAAAAGCCAGUUGGCCUCAAACAUUACUCCACUUUUCAGCCACACACAAUUCACACACCUGUAGGGAUGCAAUUUUUGGAAAUUCUCAGUUGCAGAUUUUUUCUGAUUGCCAUUUCAUUCCCUAAUCUCAACAGAACGUGAGCUCCUCCCAUUCUGCUAAUGUAUGAAGAAUCAUGGAGAAAAUUGAAAUUGAUAAAAGUGAAAUUACCAACCUACAGAGAUUUGUUACAAAAGCAGAAUUUUUGCUAUGCCCAGAAACUCUUACAGGGCUUUCUAGUGCAGUUUUGCAUGGAUAGAAGUUGCGAUAAGUGACCUGAUUUGCUGUGACCACAGUCUGCAGUGGAAACAAGGGUUUCUUGCAAUCUCAACAGAGCUUUGGAGUUGAAAGAGGUUCAGAUACUGAAAAAAGUAAUUCCUGUCAUAAAUGUGGGAAGGAAAGGUGAUAAGUUGUCUUCCUUUUGCAGGGAGUGCUUAAGUAGGUUUGGCAUUCCCUGCUUCUUUUGAGGACAGAAGACCAGCUUUAUGUUGGAUGUAACCCAUAUGAUUUUACAGUGGCACACUUCCUGGAGCUGUCUGACGUUCAAAUGUUCAAAGCUGAGAAUAUGUAUUGGUUUAAUAAAGCAUCCAAAUACUAUCUUGAGUCAGAAGAAACUGCUUUAUACUAGGUCAGGCUACUGGUUCGUUCAGGGCUCUUCAAGUCUGCUGUUAUUUUGGGGUGAGUUUCAAUCACAAAGCAGGAAAUCCACAAUUAAGUUUAUUUUGAAGUCUUGUGCAGCAAACUCUCUUCUCUGCAAAAUGAAACCAUUGAAAGAAGAAAAGUGGUGGGUGAAGGAACCAGAAAGUGUGGGAGAACAUUUGCCUGCAGCAACAUAACACAUCAGAGCAAAAGCUAAGUGAAAAGGCAUCCUAAUCUGGUGUGGUUAAUAUGAAUUUAGAGUCUCAGAAGGAGGUAUUUGCCAUCAAUUACUACUUAAAUCUUUUGUGGGGAAAUGGAGAUGUCAAGGACAACAUAAUCAUGACCAUUAUCAUUAAGCUAUGAGCCAUCCUCCUUCCUUUUCCCCUGAGCUAUUAUCCUACUUCUGCCUCAAAUUAAUCAUGUCCAGGACAAGAUCAUAGUCAAAAUAGAAAAAUAAAAAUACCCUUAUACCCCACAGUUCAUAUUGCAUUUUGUUUCCCUAUUGCACCAGCUAUUAUCAGCGGAGACAUGGCCUGAGCCAAUGAGCACAGGUUGAAUUUGCAUGAAGGGACCAUUCCUCAUCUUCCAGGGACUUAAAAAGGGAAGGGUUCCUUGGGUCCCAGCCAGGUGCCUGUCCAAUUAGAAAGACCCUACGCUGCUUUAGAGAGCUCACCAUGGCCUGGGCUCUGCUUUUCUUUGCCCUUCUCCAUUACUGCUCAGGUAAGGAUGCAAAGUGCCCUUACAUACGCCUGGGAGACAAAACAGCAAAAUGAUCUGUAAACUGUAUUUGCUUUAGCGACAGAAUGCUCUUGUGCUAUUUGAAAGCACAGAGGAUCAAAGGUAAUGACCUUUUUCUUUCUCUUUUCUGUAAAGGGGUCAAUUCACAAGCAACAGUGACACAGCCAGCCUCCCAGUCUGUGUCCUUAGGUGAAACAACUAAACUCCCCUGCUCUAAAAGUAGUGGGAGCUGGGUCAGCUUUUACUGGUAUCAACAAAAACCUGGCCAGGCUCCUCGCUUUGUGUUCUAUGGUACCAGCACCUGGGGAAAAGGGAUCCCGGAUCGGUUCAUUGCCUCUAUCUCUGGGAACAAUGGCUAUUUAACCAUCUCCAACACCCAGGCUGAAGAUGAGGCCGUUUAUUACUGUGCUGACUGGGAGUACACUGGUGGUAGCAAGUUCCACAGUGAUACAAUCUGAUGGGGAACUGAGACAAAAACCUUCACCCUUUCUCCCCAGAGUGAAGAAUGAAGCAGAAACUGUAGAAGAGCUCAGAGUCAUCUGUGCCCUGAGAUUUGUUGAUUUGCAGAGCAAGGGGGAUCUCCCUGAUCAUCUGCUCCUAGUCACUUUCCAAUGGCUGCUAAGCUUACGCUGGCAAUUCAAAAAAUAUCAAGCACUAAACCUUCCUUCGUAGGGAAUGAAUCUUAAUAUAUAAUACUGAUGGAGUGUCUGGUAGCUCUUUUUUCUGUCCCUUCUUUCUUUAGUUUUUCCUUUUUGCUGUUUAUGUGCAAUAAAUAGCAAUCCUAGUCCAGUAUUCUGAUGCUCAGGACAGAGUCUCUUGAACUUAUCCACAAUCUGCUACUUGAUCAUUUCAUAUUUAACUGGGAUACAAAGGACUGGACCUUCUUUAGGCCAAUCACCCUUUUGUCGCUAAGCUUGUUGCCUCUGCCCAAGCCAUUGGUUGUGGAACUAUUUGCAUGAUACAUCACCUGUCAUUUCCAGGGGAUUUAAGAGAGGAGGAGGAGGAGGAGGAGGAGGAGGAGGAGGAGGAGGAAGGUGCAGCUAGAUUGAGGAGCUAUUUGUCUCUGGGACUCUCCUUCCCUUUGACUUCACCAUGGCUUGGCUCCUUCUUCUCUUCGCUGUUUUCAGCUACUGUUCAGGUCUGGUUCUCGGUGGUUAAUGGGAUCAGGUUGGCUUGUGCUGAGAUAGUGGGACAAAAAAAAAACCCAUUUCUCUUGUCUAAUUUGCCAGGUUGGAUGGUCAUCUGUCCUGGAAGCUUUAGCUGAGAUUCCUGCAUUGCAGGGGGUUGGACUAGAUGACCUUUGGGGGCGUUCAAUUGUACAAUUCUAUGAUUCUCACAGGUCAUCGUUCUUUGUUUGUGUCUUUCAAGGUGUCAGUUCACUGCACACUUUGACUCCAGCUGCCUCUGCGUCUUUGUCUAUGGGCCAAGCCCAAACCAUUCAAGCGUUCUCCGUCUCUAAGCGUGGACACUGGGACAGCUUUUAAGGGUACUAACAGAAACCUGGGUCGCUUGUUGGCUUUAUGUUUUAUGAUCUUUUUAGCUGGGGAGAAGGGAUUCAUUCAGGUGGGAAGCAAAAACUUUUCUUGAAACUGCAAAUCCAGUCCUCUGAAAGGAGCUGUGCAGUCUUGCCAGAGAAAGAUUGUAUAUCUUUGCCCCAGGGACAUGGCCACUGCUGUUGUGCACUCAGUUUUUGAGUUCCAAUCAAAACAUUUAUUUUAUUUUUUUUUAUAAUUGAUAUUUAUUAAAUUUUCAAAAGGAUAACAACGAAAAUUUCCAAAAAAAGAAAAAAUAAAAAAAUUUGAAGAUACAAAAAACAAAAAUAGUACAUAAACAAAAAAGAAAAGAAAACCCAGCCGCAGAAAAAGAAAAAAAAGAAACAGAAAAACAAAAAUAUGAAGUCCUUUACAAUCUCUAUUAACUUCCUUUCUAGGCUUCCUCCUCCUCCCCUCUUUUGUUUCUUAAUUUUUAAUUUUUACAGCAAAUCCUUUCUGUUUUUUCAUAACAAUCUGCCAUUACGUUUCCUUAUUCUAUUUUCCCUCUUGUCAUGUAAAACCUUUAAACCUUUUUACAAAUCAUUUACCAAUCCUUACUUAAGCCAUGUAAUUUCAUUCAACAUCCUUCAAACAUUUAUAAGCAUUCCCAAUAUUAAAAAAUAAAAAGGAAAGAAUAAUAAGUCAAAUUCAAUCCAGUCAGCUUCCAACCUCCCCUCCCCUGGACCCGGGAUUGUCAGUCCUUUUAACCUCUUAACCUGGUUGUCUCGUAUCCGAGGCCCUCAAGUCUCUGUCUUGCCCCUUUCGCCACUCUUGUUGAUGAUUCCUUUCCAGUCGUGGAUGCUCCAGCAAGAAAAUGCUUUUGACCCUUUGCAGCAAGUCCAUCCCAAACCCAUUGCCCAAGCCAGACAGCAAGUAAUACCACUUCAGAUUUCCACAAAGCUUGGAGACUUCGGCUACUCCAAUCCUCUGAUAGCCCAUCACCAGACUCGGAAGGUCCAAAUAACCAUAUGGAGGGGGGUCAAUCCAUCCCCCCAUUUCCAAAUCUGAGCACAUUUCAUCUUUCCGAAUCUGGUUUGUCCCAAGUUCAUUUGUCAAGUUCAAAGACUGAUCUUGCCCGUCCAAAGGUCCCUCUAUCUCUGAAGCCUCCGUCACUACAGCAGGUUCAUAUACUUGUAUAGCCUUUAACUGAAUUUCAUUUGUUUGCUGCUGUGCUCUGGUGACUUCCAUCAUCAAGGUCGUCUCACACAUCUGGUCCAGCUGGGCACUUAGUUUUGAAAAACCUUCCAUGAACAAUUGUUCAAGCCUUUGUACUAGCAUUGUUCUUCAAGGUCAAAAAAAAUUCUUUCCCACGGCAAUAGUCCAAUAGUCCUUCUCUUUUAGUCUCUCUGCGUUGCAGUUUCACUGAAUUCCACUAGAUGGAAAUUCUUUUUUUUUUUUUAAAGGAAUAAAAGCAACAGCAACAAUCUUUCUUUUGCCAGAAAAACUUUAUCCAAAAUGCCCCCUUCCAAAUUCAAGAGGCAACAGUAGAAUCAAAAUGUUACCCUUCUUUUAACUAACUGUCAAGCUAGAUAAACUUCAGAACGUCAAUUCUGACAGCCCGCUCCUGGUUCAGGGCGGUGGAAAAUUGCUUUAUUUUAAACUCACUUCCGCAGGAUUAAAGAGUCCAAAUACAACCCCCUUCUUCUCCUGCAAUCGAAGGGGGGGUUCAGAAAUCUUAGAUGUUGAAUUCUAGUUCUCUUAAAAUUUAGUUUUCAAGCUUUAAUAUAUUUUAUCUUUGCUUUCUUCACAUAACAAAAGAACGGAAGGCGACUUCCUGUUUAGACCUUCUCAUUCCGAGUCCCAAUUAAGUUCAAUUUCAAGUCCAAUAUUAUUAUUUUUUUUUUUUUCACCAGUCUUAAAAGUGGUUCAGCUCUUCCAAGAUCAGGUACUCACGGAUAGAUAUUUUAGAUGCCAAAUUGUCCAGGAAAAAGGCAGCGCUCUCCGAUAACGGCAGUGCGGCUUUGCUGCACGGAGGAAGCAGACGACUCACAGCACCACGCACCUCCCACUCCGGAGCCCGUUACCGAGCUCCUGUACAAGGGGAGAGCGCUCUCGGUGCCCGCCGAGUCCCACGUCCACAGGCUUCUUCCGCCUGUGGUUUUUGCGGGUCCCCGCUGCGCCGUAGCGGCAGGACCCAAGCCUCCAUGCAGCGGGUUCCCUUCAGUCCGAAGGGAAUUCCGCCAUUUUCCGGAGGCGCCACCCCGGAAGUCCCAAUCAAAACAUUUAAAUGGGAUAGAAAAUGCCUCAUUUCCUGGUUAUUUAAGAAAGCAGAAGGUGAAGCUAGAUCAAAGAGCUGUUUGCCUCUCAGGCUCACCCUACUUUGGACUUUCCACAUGGCCUGGAUCCUUGUUCUCUUCGUGUUUCUCAAUUAUUGCUCAGGUCUGGUUAUGGAGGUUUAAUGGGCUCAGCUUGGCUUGUGCAGGCAUAAAGUGCCUGUCAAAAACAGUUAUCUGCUCAGGUUAUGGCUGCAAAUCCAGAUAUUUAAGCUGAAGCUCGUGGCCAAGUCUCCAUUAUUAGGGUACUGUGUACUUUGCAGUGGGGUUAGCAAUGGAUACUUCACAAGGUUAUGAAUCUGAAUAUUUGCCUUGGCAAUUAUUUUCAUUUCUGAACAUUCAAUGACAGUUGUAGGUCAAAUCUUAUUUCCUGUGUGUGAUGCCUGCUGUCCCAGCUCUCACCUUUAAGGGGAGAUGUUGAUGCAUCUUCUCAACGUUUGGCAGAAUAGGAUAACAACACAGACUGUUUGCCCCCAUUGCACCUGGGGCAGGGCAGGAAAAUGUUGGCUAUGCAUAGGUGCUUUUUCACUGCAACUCACUCAUGUAUAGAGCUCAAGGGCUGGAAGGUAAGUUUCUCUACCCAAGAAUAUUAGCUGACACUCUGAGCAUGUUUAGGCAAGUUGUGUGUUGCAGGUUCUACUUAGAAGACCCCUUGAAAUGAAAAGGCUGAAGGUGAAUACAGCCAAAGACCAUGUUUGCUGUCAGGCUGAUGCCUGGAUGGACUGCCUUUGGCAAAGAACAUUUUUCUAGGGCAGGGAUAACCCACAUGUUUCCCUAUGGAUGCUAUAGGGCUGCAUGGUUUCAGCGGUUGCUCCCAGUCCCCAGUCUAGCUGCCGUGUUCUGGAUUAAGUGCAGUUUAUGCGUAUAUAGCUUGGAGAGAGUCCUGCAGAGCAACAGAUGUGAGACUCUUGUCAUUGCACAAUAGGCCACUUUCUAUCCAUGCAAAAGUCAGAGAAUUCUGCCUCACACACGGAUCUCUUGAUCCUUCAUGAAGACAGGCCAGAAACAUGAUUCAAGGAUUCAAGGAUUGAGACUUUUGUGUAAAGGAGAGGGAAUUGGAAAGUGUAGAAUGACAUUUCAAAUGUUUCAUUGGCUUUCCCUGCAAAAGGUGUGAAUGGAGGCCAAAUAAACAGUUGACUCGGUUCAAUUUUCUUGCAGACUAAUCAGCAUGAAUGUGCAGUAAACAGCAAUCCUGGUCCAGUAUUCUGAUGCUCAUGGAGGAUUCUCUUGAACUUUCCCACAAUCUGCUACUUGAUAUUUUUCUCUUUAACUGGGAUACCAAGGAUUGGACCUUCCUUAUGCAAAUCACCCCCUUUGCCACUAAGCAUGAUGCCUCUGCCCAAGCCAAUGGAUGUGGACCUAUUUGCAUGAGAGAUCAUUUGUCAUUUCCAGGGGAUUUAAGAGAGGAGGAGGAGGAAGGUGCAGCUAGAUUUAGGAGCUGUUUGGGACUCUCCGUUCCUUUGACUUCACCAUGGCUUGGCUCCUUCUUCUCUUCGCACUUCUCAGCUACUGCUCAGGUCUGGUUCUGGGUGUUUAAAGGCUUGUGCUGAGAUAACGGGGAGAGCCACAAACCCAUUUAUCUUGUGUAAUUUACCCUACAAUGUUUUUCUGAUCUUUAUAGCCACAGAAAAUGAUGCAUUUUUCUUUUUUCUUUUUGCAAAGGUGUCAUUUCACAGACUUUAACUCAGCCAGCCUCGGAGUCUGUGUCCCUGGGUCAAACUGUGAAACUCUCCUGCUCUAAAAGUAGUGGUAACUGGAACUACUUUGGUUGGUAUCAACAGAAACCUGGCCAGGCUCCUCGCCUUGUGUUGUAUAGUACCAGCACCCGCGGAGAAGGGAUCCCAGAUCGGUUCACUGGUUCAGCCUCUGGGAACACUGGCUAUUUAACCAUCUCCAGCAUCCAGACUGAAGAUGAGGCCUUUUAUUACUGUGGUGCCUGGGAGUACACUGGUAGCAGCAAGUUC